GACGAACCGUGCGAACGUUAUUCGGAAUCACUGGGCUUAAAGCGCGUGUAGGCGGGAGGGCACGUCCGUCGCUGAAAUCCCCCGGCUCAACUGGGGAACGGGCGCGGAUACGACCUUCCUGGAGGGGCGUAGGGGGACCUGGAACUUCCGGUGGAGCGGUGAAAUGCGUUGAGAUCGGAAGGAACGCCCGUGGCGAAAGCGAGGUCCUGGACGCCUACUGACGCUGAGACGCGAAAGCCAGGGGAGCGAACGGG
rnacentral:rRNA from 1 species